rnacentral:lncRNA from 1 species
GUGAUGGUGAUGUUGAUGGUGGUGAUGGUGAUGAUGGUGAUGGUGGUGAUGACGGUGAUGAUGUGAUAGUGAUGAUGGUGAUGAUGGUGAUGGUGAUGAUAGUGAUGAUGGUGAUGAUAGUGAUGGUGAUGAUGUGAUGGUGAUGAUGGUGAUGGUGAUGAUAGUGGUGAUGGUGAUGAUGUGAUAGUGAUGAUGGUGAUGAUGGUGAUGAUGUU